GGGAGUCUGUGUCUAUAUCCAAUGACUGUAUUCAAAGAACAAAGCGUUCACUAAGGGAUUAGUGACUAUUGGUCUUUACUGUUAGAUUGUAACAUUCAGAUCAAUAACGCAAAUUACUCAACCGUUGUGUAACCGUUGUGUUUCCUGAAUACAGCCUCUUGUUUUCUGACAAGGAUUUGAAACGUGCGGUUGAGCUACUCGGGCGAGAUGUACAUCUUAAGAAUAUGUCGGUGUAGCGAUUUUUCGAAAUUCGAAAUAUUAACGAAGAUAUGAGCGGUUUAACGUCCGACCAUUCGACGCUGUCAGAUACGGGUCGGAGCAAGUGGAAAUUAUUUGUUGUCGAAGGAACAGAGCAUCCAAAUAAGCAGGAUCUUCUCCAUAUACAGUGGCCUUUAUAUGUAUGUACAUCUUCAGCAAGAUUAUAAUUUCUAAUGGUCAUUCAAACUUAGUUCCCUCUUGAAUCUUGACUCGAGUAGACGUACUUAUUAUCAUGGAGAAAAAGUACCCAAGAGGAAGUUCUGGUCGUCAAGACAGACAUAAGAAAAGAAAAUUUCAAGGCAAUCAAUUUACAUUCGAACAUGAAACUUCAUUUACGAGUACAGCAGCGCAAAAAUUGAAAGUGAACAAUAACGAAGAUAUUCAAAUAAAUCCCAAUCACGGAUAUCGUAUUUUAGAAUUUUAUACAGUAUUUUCCGCACUUUCUCAGCUUGUGAUUUGUAAGAAAUGUAAAGGACAAGUAAAUUUUAGUGAAUCAGGUACACACGCCCUGGGAUUUAAAAUCAGAAUAAGCUGUACAUGUGGAAUGCAGUAUGUGUCUUCGUGUCCACUUGUCGACAGAGCUUACGAAAUUAACCGAAGAAUAGUUCUUAUUAUGAGACUGCUAGGAAUCGGUAGAGAAGGAUUAAAUUUAUUUUGUGGCCUUAUGGAUAUGGGCCAGGGCAUAUAUAUAUCAACGUACUAUGCGACUUUAAAAAAUAUACAUACUGCAGCAUUAGCUAUGUUCAACAUUUUUAGUAAAAAAGCUGUAAACGAAGAAAAAGAGCAAAACGUAGAAAAUGGAAAACCUGCUGAUGAAUUAACUGUUUCUGGAAAUGGUUCAUGGAAAAAACAAGGUUUCAGCUCUUUAUUUGGCAUAUCUACUCUUAUAGGAAAAUAUACUGGCAAAGUAAUAGAUUUUGUAGUAAAAUCAAGCUACUGUCAGGCAUGUGCUUUUUGGAAAAAUAAGGAAGGUACUGAAGAUUACAAGAUUUGGGCUGAAAAUCACCAAGAUAUCUGCGAUGUUAAUAAUUUUGAUUCUGCUGGUAAAAUGAAGGUUGAUUCAAUGAAAGAAAUGUUCCUAAAAUCAGAGGAAAAAUUCGGAGUUAAAUAUACUACUUACAUCAGUGAUGGUGACUCUAAAACUUUUAAAGCACUUUUAGAUUUCAAUCCUUAUGAAGAAAAGCCAAUUAAAAAAUGUGAGUGCAUUGGGCACGUGCAGAAAAGAAUGGGCUCGUGCCUUCGAAACAAAAAGAAGGUUGAGAAACUUGGAGGGAAAAGAAGAUUAACCAAUUCGUUAAUAACAGAUCUAACAGUAAACUAUGGUUUAGCCAUCCGAAGAAAUUCGCAUUCCGUUGAAGAAAUGAAGAAGGCAAUAUGGGCUACAUUCUAUCAUAAAUGUUCUACAGAUAAAAAACCGCAACAUAUGUAUUGUCCCCCGGGACCGGACAGCUGGUGUGAGUGGCGUCGCGCUGAAGCCGUGAAUAAUCUUGCCGAAUUUCACCACGAUCCACCACUUCACAAAGAUGUCCAAAGAGCAAUAAAGUCUAUUUAUAAGGACUUAUCAUCUCUAGACUUGUUAGAACAAUGCUUAGGCGGAAAUAUUCGAAAUAAUAACGAGAGUUUUAACGCAACGAUCUGCCGUCUCGCACCGAAACAUCUUCAUUCUGGGUCAAAAGUUAUUGAAUCUUGUGCAUAUUUGGCUGCGGGAAUGUUUAACGAGGGUUACAUUACCAUUCUAAAAGUUAUGGAGACAAUGGGAGUAAUUAUUGGUCAACAAUGUAAGUUGUUUGUUGAUUACGCGGAUAAACAGCGACACACACAUACGGAAAUCAAGAGUGCUAAUACUGCAAAAAAAGCUCGUAUGGCCAGUCAAAGCAAUAUAAAGAAAUUACACGAUUUUUACGAAGAAUCAGAAGGGUUAUUUUACGGACCAGGAAUAGCAGAUUAGCCAAAAACAUUGAAAUUACAACUAACAUGCACGUUACAUGUAAUAUUGUGUUUGCUGGGUUGAUUAUAUGAUUCUCUAACAAAGGUAUUAUUUGUCAGAUGGUAUAUUCAAGAAUAAAAGAAGAUCAAAUUCUAUGUGUUGCCUACAACCAUGAACUUCCGAAAUAUGGAAUAAAAGUAGGCCUUACUAAUUAUGGAUCUGCAUAUUACACUGGCUUAUUUUUUACAAGUUGCUGAAGAAAUUAGCCCUGGAUACUUUGUAUAUUGGUAACACGGAAAUAUCUGGUGACAUACAAUGUCGAGGAAUCAAACGAUGGUCCAGGUGUAUUUGAAUGUUACUUGGAUACUGUGUCUAAUAUGUACUAUACAACAGGCGCCCAAGUUUUUGAGGCUAUGAAAGAUGCAGUUGAUGGUGACCUCAAUAUUUCCUAAAACACUAAGAGAUUUCUCAGUUAUGAUAACGAAUC